AGCAGCCGCGGUAAUUCCAGCUCCAAUAGCGUAUAUUAAAGUUGUUGCAGUUAAAAAGCUCGUAGUUGAAUUUCGGGGUUAGUAGGUUGGUCAUGCCUCUGGUAUGUACUGGUCUCACUGAUUCCUCCUUCCUGAUGAGCCGUAAUGCCAUUAAUUUGGUGUUGCGGGGAAUUUGGACUGUUACUUUGAAAAAAUUAGAGUGUUUAAAGCAAGCUAACGCUUGAAUACAUUAGCAUGGAAUAAUGAAAUAGGACGUUUGAUUCUAUUUUGUUGGUUUCUAGGAUCGACGUAAUGAUUAAUAGGGAUAGUUGGGGGCAUUAGUAUUCAAUUGUCAGAGGUGAAAUUCUUGGAUUUAUUGAAGACUAACUACUGCGAAAGCAUUUGCCAAGGAUGUUUUCAUUAAUCAAGAACGAAAGUUAGGGGAUCGAAGACGAUCAGAUACCGUCGUAGUCUUAACCAUAAACUAUGCCGACUAGGGAUCGGAUGAUGUUAAUUUUUAAUGACUCAUUCGGCGUCCG
rnacentral:rRNA from 1 species